rnacentral:rRNA from 1 species
GACGAACGCUGGCGGCGUGCUUAACACAUGCAAGUCGAACGGAAAGGCCCUGCUUUUGUGGGGUUCUCGAGUGGCGAACGGGUGAGUAACACGUGAGUAACCUUCCCUUGACUUUGUGAUAACUUCAGGAAACUGGGGCUACUACCUGCUAGGAGCUCCUGCUGCAUGGUGGUGGUUGGAAAGUUUCGGCGGUUGGGGAUGGACUCGCGGCUUAUCAGCUUGUUGGUGGGGUAGUGGCUUACCAAGGCUUUGACGGGUAGCCGGCCUGAGAGGGUGACCGGCCACAUUGGGACUGAGAUACGGACCAGACUCCUACGGGAGGCAGCAGUGGGGAAUAUUGCACAAUGGGCGGAAGCCUGAUGCAGCAACGCCGCGUGCGGGAUGACGGCCUUCGGGUUGUAAACCGCUUUCGCCUGUGACGAAGCGUGAGUGACGGUAAUGGGUAAAGAAGCACCGGCUAACUACGUG